GACGAACGCUGGCGGCGUGCUUAACACAUGCAAGUCGUACGGUAAGGCCCUUUCGGGGGUACACGAGUGGCGAACGGGUGAGUAACACGUGAGUAACCUGCCCACAACUUUGGGAUAACGCUAGGAAACUGGUGCUAAUACUGGAUAUGUGCUCCUGCUGCAUGGUGGGGGUUGGAAAGCUCCGGCGGUUGUGGAUGGACUCGCGGCCUAUCAGCUUGUUGGUGGGGUAGUGGCCUACCAAGGCGGCGACGGGUAGCCGGCCUGAGAGGGUGACCGGCCACAUUGGGACUGAGAGACGGCCCAGACUCCUACGGGAGGCAGCAGGGGGGAAUAUUGCACAAUGGGCGCAAGCCUGAUGCAGCAACGCCGCGUGCGGGAUGACGGCCUUCGGGUUGUAAACCGCUUUCAGCAGGGACGAAGCUUUUUGUGACGGUACCUGCAGAAGAAGCACCGGCUAACUACGUG
rnacentral:rRNA from 1 species